GGCUUUAUAUUCUAAUUUAGGAUUUUAGAUUGCAAGUCUAAAGGUGUAAAUUUACUAAAGUCU
rnacentral:tRNA from 1 species